rnacentral:rRNA from 1 species
CCCUUAGAUGUUCUGGGCCGCACGCGCGCUACACUGAUGCAUUCAACGAGCCUAUCCUUGACCGACAGGUCCGGGUAAUCUUUGAAUCUGCAUCGUGACGGGGAUAGAUUAUUGCAAUUAUUAAUCUUCAACGAGGAAUGCCUAGUAGGCGCAAGUCAUCAGCUUGCGUCGAUUACGUCCCUGCCCUUUGUACACACCGCCCGUCGCUCCUACCGAUUGGGUGUGCUGGUGAAAUGUUCGGAUCGGCCGUUUGUCGCGGUUUCCGCGGCUCGUGGCUGAGAAGUUCAUUGAACCCUCCCACCUAGAGGAAGGAGAAGUCGUAACA